AUCGUUCUGGUUCGUAUGAUUCGAUGACUGGUCUGAUUACGCGUGUGUGUGAAAUGUGUAACCGCUGUUACGACUGAGCACAUAAACCUUCUGAUC